GACAGAGGUGCCGAGCGUUAGGCGGAAUCACUGGGCUUAAAGCGUGUGUAGGCGGGUCGUUAAGUACCUUGUGAAAUCCCCCGGCUCAACCGGGGAACGGCUGGGUAUACUGGCGAUCUUGAGCCACCUAGGGGCAGUCGGAACAAGUGGUGGAGCGGUGAAAUGCGUAGAUAUCACUUGGAACGCCAAUGGUGAAAACAGACUGCUGGGGGUGUGCUGACGCUGAGACACGAAAGCCAGGGGAGCAAGCGGG
rnacentral:rRNA from 1 species